rnacentral:rRNA from 1 species
CCAGCCUGCCAGUGACUACAAGUUCAACGGCCGCGGUAUUUUGACCGUGCAAAGGUAGCGCAAUCACUUGUCUUUUAAAUAGAGACCUGUAUGAAUGGCUAAACGAGGGCUUAACUGUCUCCCCUUUCCAGUCAGUGAAAUUGAUCUGCCCGUGCAGAAGCGGACAUAAUAAUACAAGACGAGAAGACCCUUUGGAGCUUAAGGUACAAAACUCAACCACGUCAAGCAACUUAAUAAAAAGCAAAAACUUUGUGGAAUAUGAGACUUUACCUUCGGUUGGGGCGACCACGGAGGAAAACAAAGCCUCCAAGUGGAUUGGGAAAACCUCCUAAAACCAAGAGAGACAUCUCUAAGCCACAGAACAUCUGACCAAACAUGAUCCGGCCACCUAAAGCCGAUCAACGAACCAAGUUACCCUAGGGAUAACAGCGCAAUCCUCUCCCAGAGUCCAUAUCGACGAGAGGGUUUACGACCUCGAUGUUGGAUCAGGACAUCCUAAUGGUGCAGCCGCUAUUAAGGGUUCGUUUGUUCAACGAUUAAAGUCCUACGUGAUCUGA